UACGGAGGGUGCGAGCGUUGUCCGGAAUCAUUGGGCGUAAAGGGCUCGUAGGCGGCCAACUAAGUCAGACGUGAAAUCCCUCGGCUUAACCGGGGAACUGCGUCUGAUACUGGAUGGCUUGAGUUUGGGAGAGGGAUGCGGAAUUCCAGGUGUAGCGGUGAAAUGCGUAGAUAUCUGGAGGAACACCGGUGGCGAAGGCGGCAUCCUGGACCAACACUGACGCUGAGGAGCGAAAGCCAGGGGAGCAAACGGG
rnacentral:rRNA from 1 species